GCGCGAGUAGCUCAAUUGGAUAGAGCGUCGGCCUCCGGAGCCGAAGGUUAUGGGUUCGACCCCCGUCUCGCGUACCA
rnacentral:tRNA from 2 species